AGCUAGUCAAAGGCGACUAAUUCAUGUGGAUAGAAAAAUAAUACAUGCCAAAAGAAAUUUGAGGAACAAAUUCAGCCCUGAGACAGGUCAAGGAAACAGCCCUCCAGUCUUCCUCAAGAAAUGUAGACUGAAUCAGCAUGUACCCUCCCCUGGAAGAACGCAGGAGCUGCGCAUUCCUGGGAUCUCAGCAGGGCUUUUGGGAAGAGCAGAACUGGGCUGGGGUCACGGUUUCCGGGCUGACUCUAGAUUUUCCCCGGCUUUUGUCACCUGUGAUGGCUGGAGAGUAUCUGAAGAUGACGGACCCUCUACUCCCAGCGACACAAGAUGGUUGGACCCACGGCUGAUUUACU
rnacentral:lncRNA from 1 species